UAUAAUUACUAUGUAAACGGAUAAGUGAUGAUGCCUAUGUGGGUUUUAAGCAUAUUGUAAAUAUGCCACCUUGUCUGGAAACCUCCUUUAAAGGAGGUUUUUUAUUUUUGC
rnacentral:ncRNA from 1 species